CCGCCGCCGCCGCCACGUCCACCGUAGCCGCCGCCACCACCGCCGUAGCCUCCUCCACCCUGGCUGCAGUCCCUCGCCAUGUGGCCCUCCUCGCCACAGGUGUAGCAACCACGGCCGCCACCGCCGCCGCUACGGCCGCCGUAGCCGCCUCCACCACCGCCGUAGCCGCCACCGCCGUAGCGGUCGCCUCCACCGUAGCCGCCGCCGCCGCCACCUCCGUAGCGGUCGCCGCCGCCGCCGCCGCCGCCGUAGCGCCCACCACCACCGCCUCCGCCGUAGCGGUCGCCGCCGCCGCCGCGUGAGCCGCCGGCGAGGGUUACGCCGCCAGGUCCGGUGACGUCGAUGGCCUUGGUGCGGCCAUCGUCGCCGGAUCCGACGACGAACUCGACGGUGGCGCCUUCGUCGAGGCUGCGGAAGCCGUCGGACUUGAUGGAGGACUGGUGGACGAAGAGAUCCUCGCCGCCGUCCUCCGGGGAGAUGAAGCCGAACCCCUUCUCGACGUUGAACCACUUCACGGUGCCCUUGACCCUCUCCGCCAUCUCGCUUGACCCGCCGCCGGACGAGGAGAACCAAAACCCUAGAAACCCUAGAUCGGUGUGGAGAGGAGGCGAGAGAGGGGUGCUGGCCGGCUGGGGUGUUUCUUUUAUGGCGUACUCAUUUUUUUGGUUGAAAGCCCACCAUGGGUCAUGGGCCUCAUGGCGCAGUCUGGCCAUAGUGACAAGCUCCAGCACUGGGCCAAAAGGCAAAUUGAUUUGGUAUGGUAAAUGUGAUUACCGUAUUGUUUUUUUUUUGCUAUAAGUUUGGUUAAAAAGUUUGAAAGUCAAAAAAGUUACAGAAAAUAUCACAAAACCACAACCGUUACAUCCAUCUUAUCACUUAACCACAACUUCUGGAACUUUUCUCCGAAAACCACAACCGAGCCUCCUAAUUGCCUUUGGCUUCUGUUAACAGCGAAACUGACGUUCCUGGCCCACAUGUAAGUGCUGACGGGGCAGCUGACGAGGCACCGGGCGAGCCAGACUCCGACCGGUCCGGUCGGUAGAUAAGCCGGGCAAUCCGCGAGCCCAUUCUGCGCGCGAAAAGCAAGUAUCAUUUCCCUCCAUUCGCGCCUUCACGGGCGGCGGCGGCGGCAGCUUGGAGCUCGCCGGUGGGAAGGAGCUCUUGCCCGCGAAGGAGCAUGUCGGCGGAACACUGCAAUGGAUAAUGAGGUGAGUCAACUCCAUACAUUUGGGGAUUAGGGUUUGGUUGAUUGGAAUUUGAGGAUUUUGGGAUUAGGGUUCGCUUCAUCCGCUUCGAUUUGGGGGAUUCGGUGCAUGCAGAGUGGAAUUGAAGGGGCUCACAUACGAAUUGCAGGGGAGUUGCCGCUUCUAUGGCAAAGUUCCUAUCGACAUUGACAAUGUGGAGUUCUGUGGUGUGGAGGUGGACACGAAGCUGAAGUGCCGCCAUGGGUUGCAGCCAGUUCGUAGGGUUGCCUUUGAGGGCACUGAUACAGGCCGACGCUUCAUCAGUUGUUGUAUUGAGGUAACACUCAUUUGCAGUAAAUGUAUGCGUGUGUAGAAGAGGUUAAUUGAUUCCAAUCUUGUUUGCUGCUUAGGAUGCUGACAGGUGCGAUUUCAUCUGUUGGUAUGAACCUGAAUGGCCCAUGACAAUGAAGAAUGCUCUUCAAGCUUUGUGGAAGAAGCUAGAUGAGAAGGAGCAGAGUAUGUACUGUGAGAUUGAUUCGUUGUUGAAUCACAUGUUAUAUGAGAAGUUGAAGGCAGAGAAAGAAAAAGAAGAUGUGGAGACUGAAAUAGCAGAAAUUGUAGCUGAAUUUGAGGAGAAGCUGCAGGUUAUGAGGACAACUGUCGAGAAGAAGAACAAAUGGUUCAUGAUUUCAGUUAGCUGCAAUGUAGUGAUGCUUGGAGUUUUAGCUUCUGUGUUUGCUCUCAAAACAUGAUGUGUAAUCUGUGUUUGCUCUCAAAUCAUGAUGUGUAAUCUGUCACAAUGAAUGUGCACUCAAUAUGUUGGCUGUUGUUUAUUAUGAAUGAAUAUCAUCUGUUUGAAUGCUUUUUGAAUGAAUAUCAUAUGUUUGAAUGAGUUUUGAAUGGAUAUCAUAUGUUUGAAUCUGCACAGUAAAUUGAGGAUGUGUGUAAUGCUAGAAUUGGGACGGAAUGAAACACAGACUUGCUAGAAUUUGGAUAGAAUGAAACACAUCAUGUCGAUAACAUGAACUGGAUCUUAAAGUGCCAUAUAAGCUUGCCAAAAUACACACAUAUUCAGUCGCUUGUACAGCCACACAACCUGGCCAAAUGCAUAUACUCGGUCACUUCUACAGCCACACAACCUGGCCAAAAUGCACACAGUCUCAGUCACUUCUACAGCCAUAAGAGGUUCACAACAACAUAACAAGUUCACAACUACCAUAAGAGGUUACACAGCAUUGUCAUCAACUCUGAAAGAAGAUUCUACCCCUGCAGUGAAGUACUCCAUCAUUCUUCCCCUUGGUUUUGUCACUCCUCCUCUUCCUCUAACAGCAGGCGUCUUUGCUGCCCUUGGAACUCUAUCUGGUGCAGACCUGGGAGCUUCAUAUGCUGGCUCUGGAGUUGUGUAGCUUGGUUUUGGAGGUGGGUAGCUUGCUAAUGGUGGUGGUGGUGUGUAGUUUGGUUCUGGAGAUGGGUACCUUGCUAGAGGUGGUUCAGUGCUUACAUCUCCUCCUGCUGAGCCUCCUUCAUCUUCUUGCCUUCUUCUAUUACUCUAAUGACAUGAAAAAGAAGUUAGUUAUGCUUAGUGUUAUAUAAAUGUGUAUAAUAGAAAUCAUUAAAUUACCUGAUGUUGUCUUUUCCUAAUCUCCAGAUCAGGCCUCAAAGGUUUGGAGCAGCUUGUGUACUUAUGGCCUUGCAAGUGACAGUUGCUACAAGUGGAAGUUGUCAUUCUCUCUUUUCCUACAGGUAUCUUAGCUUUCUCAUCUGCUCCUUUCCUUCUAUUCUUCUUACUUCUACCAGGGUGGUUCAAGAAAAUAGAUGGAUCAAUAUCAGGACUGGCUGUCUUGGUCCAUGCAUGCUUGCCAGGGACUGGAUACACAAACAGCUUGUGUUCUUCUUUGUAUAAAGGCAUUUUGAAAAAUGGGCUAACAUAGUCUAGGUGACUUCUUACUUUGUAGAUGGCAGCACAAGCAUGCUUGCAUGGCACUCCAUUCAGGUCCCAUCUUCUGCAGCCACAUGUGUGAGCUAACAAGUUAACAGGAUAACUAUGAUCUCCACUUCCUACCUGCCAUAUUCCUUGUCCAGCACACACUGGCCUGCAUGGCCUUGAUCUCUUUUUCUCCAUCUCUAACUGUUCAACAUACUUUGGACAUAUCUCCCAAUUAGCUGUUGCAGCCCCCUCUCUCUUUUGGUUAAAUCUGGCAAUUAGUUUAGUCCUAAUCCCUUCUAUCAUUGUUAUAAUAGGUUUAUCUCUUAAUGAUAUGAUGAAUUUGUUGAAAACCUCACAUAAGUUGUUGACCACUAAAUCAGUUUUACAAUUGGUGUCCAUAGCAUGUCUACACCAGUGCUUAGUUAGUAUCUUGUUCAACCAUUCCCAUGCAGCCUCAUACUCAUCUUUCAAAGCAGCCAUAGCCUCAUCAAAGUGGUGCUUAGUGUAUGCAUAACUAGCACUGUACAUUAACUUCUUUAAGUCACCACCCUUAAACCCUGUUGUCUGAUAAUUCUGGUACAAAUGCCUAAGACAAUAUCUUUGUUCACAAUCAGGAAAAACUCUGUCUAAGGCUCCAAGCAGACCCUAUUAAUGUAAUAAAGUAUUUAUGUCAGCCAUACGAAACAAUUUCAACUUUGAAUUCAUAUUUCCUACAUAUGUAUGUAUGUAGCAUACCUUGUGUCUAUUAGACAUGAAGGUCCAUCUACCAAAUGGGCCCGAAUCACCACCAAGUGCAUAUUUGAGCUGUUCCAAGAACCAACACCAGCCAGGGGUAUCCUCUUUGCCAACCACAGCAAAAGCCAAAGGAAACAAAUUAUUGUUUCCGUCCCUUCCUGAAGCUGCCAAGACUUGAGCCCCAGUGGUCAACUUGAUAAAACACCCAUCAACACAUGAUAAUAUACAUUUUUUGUUAUUUAACUAUGAAAUGUACCGGAUAGUGUUUUAAACAAUGGGACAAUAGUUUAAUGAUUUACUUAUGAAGGGCCUGCAUCCAUUUUUAAAUCCUUCAAUUUGUGCAUUCAGGCAGUAGAACAGCCCAUGAAACCUAGGAUUGAUAGCUGGCCUUGGUUGCAUCAUGGUGUGGACAAUACACCUGCUGCCUGGAUUGGUAUCAAGGACAGUCUGGAGGUAAUCUCUAAUUCUCACAUAUUGCUCCUUGUGAUUCCCUAACACCACCUCAACUGCCUUUGCUCUUGCCCUAUAAGCUGUCAAUUUUGACACUUCAACACCAUAGUUUCUGAUGGUCUUGUCAAUCAUUGCUGUUACUUUCCAAUCUGGGUCACUCCUUAUUGCCUCCUCAUAUAUCUUGCUAAGCCAGCCACUAGUGACCCUUGAUGUCUCCUAGUCUAUUCCACAGGAAUGAUUCAUUACAAGCUUUCUAAUGCACACUGUCUUCUCAUGUUUAAUUUGUGAAGCUACCAUAUAGAAUGGACAUAAUUUUUUCCUACAACGAACAAUUACUCUAUCUCUAUCAUUUCUGAGAUACUUGUAGUCUCUAGCUUGUGCAAUGUGCAAACCCUUUAGAGCACGUCUAAACUGAUGGACAUCAGUAAAGCACAUGCCUAACAUAAUCUGAUCAUAAGGCUGCUUCCUAGCUUCAUCAUACCAUACCCUAGGAGGUAACUUCUUGGCUCUACUCUUCUUCUUAAGUGGUUGCAUCAGUGUAGCUACUUCAGCCUCAUCAUCAUCACUAGAUCCCAACUCUUCUUUGAUGUUCAGAUCAUCAUCAGACAAUACAAAUACUGGGACAUCACUACUAGAACCUUGGGCUGAUGCAUCUCUCUUCUGUGUCCCAAUUGUUGAAGCUUUCCUUUUCCUUCCUGUGCUGACAGAUGCUUGAGUUUCUUGCACUGGAGCUUCAACAUUAAUUGGAACUGGAUCUGGCAGAGGCACAUCAUCUGGUUCAGCAAACAAAUCCUCAUCUUCUAUAUCUCUUUCUACAUGCAAUUCAGGAUCAUCUUUCUCUCUCUAAAUCUCUUGCAUUUUCUCCAAUGCCUCCAAGUCCACUAUAUUCCCACUGCCAUCAGGUGCAAAUGCUUCAUCUGCACUGCUAUCAUCUGAAAGUACCGACAUGCCCUCCUCAUCAAUGCUAGCAAUGCCUUUCCCUUUGUCCUUCUGCAAAUGCAAACUCUCUUUAUUCACACUCUCUUGUGUGCCAACAUCUGCUGCCUCAACAAACUCAGGUUAUCUAGUUGGCUUAAAAGAUCUCUUAGGCUUUGAAGGUGAUGGCUUCAAUUUGGGCUUCAAAGGAGAUGUACAUUUCCUAAAGAUUGUCAAGGUGACUUUCUUGACAGCCUCAUACUUCUUCACCAUCUCUUCUACCUUCUCAUUGCUAUCUACCACCUCAAGCCCAGCAAUGCCUUUGCUUUCUUGAUUCAUAUAGUACAUAUAUGAAUCCCCAAUGUAUCCAAAGGUAGAAAUCAAAUUGAGCAAGUUCUGAUAUCUCAAAUCUGUCCUGCCAAUCCUUCGUUUAACCAUGUCUAAGCCAUCAAACAGCAGGUUGACAUCCCAAACCUCAUCGUCAAGCCUACGGCAUUUGAAUGAAAAAGUAGUCAAUUCAGAGCACAAAUAACAGAAACUCGCCCCAAAAAGUACACCUAAUUCAUGUCUAACCAAACCCUAACCUCUCAACCUCUAUCAGGUCCCGAUUUACCUAACCCUAGCUAAUUCGUCACCAUUGUCAAAAUACUCCAUGACGCAGCGAUUAUUCCCACAAAUGCAAUCCACCUAAAUCCGCAACGAAAAUCACCAAAAAAAAACGUCGAUCAUCCAAAUCCCCCAACCCUUCCUCGCAAGCACAUACCAUCGCGAACAAAUCAACCGACCCCAAGAUGCGAGAGAAUCAGGAAAGAGAUCGACGGAUCUUACCAAACCCCGUCGCCAUAGUCGCUCCAGUUUAUCGACAUUGCCGCCGUAGAUCUCCAGCAGCACGCCCGGCGACGCCCAACCCGUCGUCGUCGCCUACUCUGUCGCCUUUUCAGAGAGAGAGAGAGAGAGAGAGAGAGAGCGGGGAAGGAGGGGAAUGGACUGGUUCGGUCGAACCAGAUCCAAACCCAAAUAAACCAGCCCGGUGCUCCGUCAGCACUUACACGUGGGCUAGGAACGUCAGUUUCGCUGUUAACAGAAGCCAAAGGCAAUUGGAGGCUCGGUUGUGGUUUUCGGAUAAAAAUUCAAGAAGUUGUAAUUAAAUGAUAAGAUGGACGUAACGGUUAUGACUUUGUGAUAUUUUCUCAAAAAGUUAUACAACCUGUAUUUCGGAACGAAGGGAGUGGUAAUUUCUUGUCGAUGUGCACUUGUUUGCUUAUUUAGCUGUUGGUUCCUUUCGUUUUUUUCUUAAGACAUACGGUUCAGCCUCUCAUACUACUCGGGACAGAGGUAGCAGCUGAUAAUAAAGCUCUUUAUUUAGACAGAUAUAUAAACAUAUUGCUGGAAUAUAUCAUUGAAGAAACACGUUCCACUACACCAUGUGAAAUGUUCAUAACAAAGUUCACGCAAAAUUGUUCCCUGUGACGACUGACCAGACACACACAUAGACUUCGCCCCACGCGGGCUUGGAUAAUACCCCGUUGAGCGGCCCAUUUCGCUCCCCGCCUGCUGGUGCCCACAGCCCACUGUCCGCGCGUCUUGAAGAAAACCGACGAGCCACAACCAGGCUGCCAGCCAUGACCCACUGUCUUACGGCUCAAAUUCUCGAUUCACCGCCGCCGUGGGUUCAGCCUGAACCUUGAACACUAAUAAGUAGUAUCUCCUUGCUCUCAAAAAAAAAAAGCAAUAUCUCCUGACAAUAUAGUACUCCUUCCUCUGUUCCAUAUUAAUCCUCUGUUCCAUAUCAAGUGACUUUUUAUUACAUGUAUCUAAUUUAGACAUUUUUUAGGCAUAGAUACAUCCGCAUAUUACAUGUAUCUCCUUGCUCUCUCUCUCUGUCGGGAAGAAUUACAGGAUCUCUGAACUUUCAGAUUAAAAGCAGAGCUUCGAUGCAUCUGGAGUUCCAGGCAAAGACAGAUUCAGCUGAACAAAAUAUCUUGGUGGCUAAAAGCAACCAUUGCUAAUCAAACAUCACAAUUUUCAGACAGUGUGCAAACAGUUUAUCUGCAAAUGAUGGAGACAUGAAACCGAACAAGCAUAUAGGGAAAUGUUUUUGCACUGGAAUGAAAACAGUCAAGAAAGAGCAAAACCUUUUCUCUGUGACCUGUCAAAGUUUUGAACUGGAAUGAAACCAGUCAAGAAAGAGCAAAACCUUUCUCUGUGACCUGUCAACAGAAACAGUAUGUUUCAAUUGCAGGGAAUCUGACCCCUUCAGAUUCCUCAGGUGGUUGAUCAAUGAAGCAUUGUGGCUCUUUGCCUCAAGGUACACGAUACGCUGGCUGAGCACAGAAGAUGGAGGGUGCCUGACCCUUGAGGAAAAAGCUGGUGCAAGACAUCUACUGCAUAUUUUCUGAAAAUUGUGAGUAUGCAGAACAGCAAGGUAAUUGAGCUUCCAGAGCCAUCAUCUUCGGAGUAUACAGAAGAAGAAAAGGAUUAAUUCCAAACUUCUGAUCGACCUCCCAGGCGAUCGCUGACCAAAGUUUGGGGUUGCAUUGUGAGGGCACUGUUACUAAGGCUGCCAUUGAUAUUUCAAGGACUCACCAUUUGAGUCAGCCCAGGUAAGGAUAUAAUCUUACUGUAUCAGAAAACAGCAGUGUAUCUGUGUAUCAACAAAAUUUACAGGAUCUCUGAACAGUAUUAAUGCAGCAACUUUCAGAUUAUGCAGAUUCAGUUGAACAAAAUCAAACAUCACAAUUUUCAGAAAAGUGUGCUAACACUGGGAUUCAAGUCACAUGGCUGGCAAAAUUCCAUAUCAUCAUCAUCAUACACUCGCAGUUAUCACAAUCUUCGGAAAGUGUGCUUACCUGACUCGGCAAACCCACCAGUGAAUCCAUGCAUGGAAGCUGCAAGUCGGAUCACAAAUGUUGAUCCCAAGAAGACAUGCCGAAGGCUAAAAACUUGCUCGAAAUUUACUUUUAGAAUAUAGUUUUUGCUUCUGUCUCAAACAGGAUAAUGAAAUUACUUAGAACAGGAAAUCACUCAUACUCCCAAGGAUCCAUCCACAUUACUUCACGUUCGAGCAGGACGGGGAACACUACAGAUAAGACUGGCAUGACUUGCUGCAGAAUCAAGACGGGGCAAAACGAAACACGGGAGACAGAUCUGACGACGAGAUGAUGAAGCGCCUAGUUGGCCCUGUUGGGGCACUCCCUUGAGAUAUGGCCCUCCUCCCCACAGUUGUAGCAAGCACGGCCACCGCCGCCGCCGCCGCCGCCACGUCCACCGUAGCCGCCGCCGCCGCCGCCACCGCCACCGCCGUAGCCUCCUCCACCCUGGCUGCAGUCCCUCGCCAUGUGUCCCUCCUCGCCACAGGUGUAGCAACCACGGCCGCCACCGCCGCCGCCGCCGCCGUAUCGGUCGCCGCCUCCGUAGCCGCCGCCACCCCCACCGUAGCGGUCGCCGCCGCCGCCGCCGUAGCGCCCACCACCACCGCCUCCGCCGUAGCGGUCGCCGCCGCCGCCGCGUGAGCCGCCGGCGAGGGUGGCGCCGCCAG
rnacentral:lncRNA from 1 species